AUAGUAGGCGGGGUAACGGCCCACCUAGUCCACGAUGAAUAGGGGUUCUGAGAGGAAGGUCCCCCACACUGGUACUGAGACACGGACCAGACUCCUACGGGAGGCAGCAGUGAGGAAUAUUGGUCAAUGGGCGCGAGCCUGAACCAGCCAAGUAGCGUGAAGGAUGACUGCCCUAUGGGUUGUAAACUUCUUUUAUAUGGGAAUAAAAAGAGCCACGUGUGGUUUAUUGUAUGUACCAUUAUGAAUAAGCAUCGGCUAACUCCGUGCCAGCAGCCGCGGUAAUACGGAGGAUGCGAGCGUUAUCCGGAUUUAUUGGGUUUAAAGGGAGCGUAGGUGGAUAAUUAAGUCAGUUGUGAAAGUUUGCGGCUCAACCGUAAAAUUGCAGUUGAUACUGGUUAUCUUGAGUACAGUAGAGGUGGGCGGAAUUCGUGGUGUAGCGGUGAAAUGCUUAGAUAUCACGAAGAACUCCGAUUGCGAAGGCAGCUCACUGGACUGCAACUGACACUGAGGCUCGAAAGUGUGGGUAUCAAAC
rnacentral:rRNA from 1 species